CAAUAGCGUAUAUUUAAGUUGUUGCAGUUAAAAAGCUCGUAGUUGGAUUUCGGUUAAGAGCGACCGGUCCGCCGCUUGGUGUGCACUGGUUGGUUUUAACUUCCUGUAGAGGACGUGCUCUGGGUUUAACGACCUGGACUCGGAGUCUACGUGGUUACUUUGAAAAAAUUAGAGUGUUCAAAGCGGGCUUACGCUUGAAUAUUUCAGCAUGGAAUAACACUAUAGGACUCCUGUCCUAUUUCGUUGGUCUCGGGACGGGAGUAAUGAUUAAGAGGAACAGUUGGGGGCAUUCGUAUUUCAUUGUCAGAGGUGAAAUUCUUGGAUUUAUGAAAGACGAACUUCUGCGAAAGCAUUUGCCAAGGAUGUUUNCAUUAA
rnacentral:rRNA from 1 species